GAUUUUGCGCUUGGGGCUAUGAUGUAUUGCAGCCAAUGAGGCUCUAACCGAGGCGCGUCUAUUGCUGGUUGAAAACUAUUUCCAAACCCCACUAAAAACCCUACAAUUCUUUAAGUUCCAGUUUAUCUUAAUUUUUAUCUUUUGGUCAUAGA
rfam:Capsella rubella cultivar Monte Gargano unplaced genomic scaffold scaffold_2, whole genome shotgun sequence.